GUGCUCGCUUCAGCAACACAUAUACUAAAAUUGGAACGAUACAGAGAAGAUUAUUAGCAUGGCGCCUGCGCAAGAAUGACAAGCAAAUUCAUGAAGCAUUCCAUAUUAAA